AUGGCUCAAAGUGACUCAAAGCGAUUUAAAAUGAUUCAAAGUGUACUCAAAGUGAUAAAAAGUGAAUUGAAAUGAUUCGAGGUGCAGAUUAAAGUGCUACAGCCGAUACGACCGAUCUUUCCGUUUUCUGCGUUGGUGCUCUGCGAAGGGCGUUUAAGGAGAAAAUGGAUCAGACGCGGUUCCAGUACCCCAGAUCCAGCUGUUUUCGCAUCUGCACGGCUAAUUAAAUCGAUUGGCGGACCACUUUUGACGAAUCUCGAUCCCAGGAACGACUCUUCGAUCGGUGAAUCGAUGGAAUCAUCGCUAGGAACGUUAUUAAUCGACGUGGAGAGAUGCCCUGGACUGAAAAGUCAGCCGAGCUCGAUGGGCCGUCUACGUGUCCGGGCGCUGGAACAGGAAUCCUCGCGCGGAGCCUGGCAAAAGAGGAGAAGAGGGAGUGCAAACGGCCUAAGGGAGCCGCCGCUUUGCAUAAUCAAAUCCCACGACGAUGUAGCAGAAUGCGAAGUACCCCGAUGGAUAGAGGGGGCCACAGAGGGGGUAGGCUGCUCGCACGAAUCCCGCGGGCACGCGAGGACUCCGAAAAAUGCGCACCCCUA